GCAGGGGUAGAUUAACUAAAUUGUUUGGCUGUUAACCGAAAGAAGGGAGUAUUCCCCUCCCGCG
rnacentral:tRNA from 1 species